ensembl:lincRNA
GGCGGGGCCUCGGUGGGCGGCACCUGACCCUCGGCCUGGGCCUGCCCUGGGUCCUUGCGGGUGCAGAGGCUCGGGGGGAACCGCGGCGGUGCCAGCUGCUGGCCUGCCCUCCGCACACCGCCCACCCACUGGGGCCUCAGAAGGGAAACCGAGGGAUGGGGAAGCCCGGCGCGCAGAGAGGGGCUGAAGGCGCCCACAGGAAGUGUGCACGGUUCAGGGUGGACCAGAAGAGCGGCGCCCCAGCAAGCAGGGCCCCUCCACCCCUGCUGCGCCGGCGGAGCUGACGCCCUCCUGAAAAUUCUCCGUCAGCAUUUUACCAAGACAGGAGGAGUUUGGAUUUUGCUUGCCACCCAGGCCCUUACAGCCGUUUGCUGUCCACGCCUUGAUGACUUCCUUGGCUGCGGGGCACGUGGCGGUGGCAGUGUUGCUCCUCAGGAGUGCUGUGCCCUCCCCUCUCUUCUCCCGGGCUGGGAUCUGGCUCAGGCAGCAGCUCCGGCAACGUCACCAGCCACCCUUGGUCCCCGGGGCCUUCGUCUCACUCUCUGCCUGGUUCUUCCUCUGCCUGCCUUGGGCCCAGGAGGGAAGCAGGACUCGGGGCCCAGAUGUCCCUGUCCUGCCCUGACUGGUGAUGCCCGGCCAGCGGGUCUGCUGCUCCACUGCCAGGAUCUGGAGGAAACAGUCUGCCCGAGGACCAGUGGCUUCAGGCCUGAUUAAAUGGAAUGAACGCAUCAAGCAGGGUGAGCGGUUAAACGAAAAGAAGGACAUAAAGGAGUCAACACAGGAAACUAACACAGCGACAGGAGCAGGUUGGCUCCUGUUGGUAAAAUCUCAGUGUAGGCGGACGGCCUCGACUCCCCAGUUAAGGCACAGAGCAGUGGACUGGAUGAGAAGACAGAGCCCAACCUUCUGUUGCAUUCAGGGGACUCAUCUAACCCAAAACAAAUUCACAGGCUAAAAAUCAAAGGAUGGAAAACGAUCUUCCAAGCCCCAGGAUCCAGCUGAAUUGACUCCAGAACCAAGCAGGGGUAGCAAUUUUAUUCUCAUUAUCACUGUUGAAAACAAGUGCGGCUAUGAAGAAUUAGGUUUAACUUUGAGAAAGGAUAUACGCGUGUGCCAGUGUGUGGCAGGCAGGCGGGCCAGGCCUGGCUGGCUGAGCUUGGGUGUCGGAGAUGUAUGUUCUCCAGAUGUAAAUACGUUCUCCAUAAGUCACUGCACAUGCCCAAGAACUAGGGUUCCGAAAGCCCAGGCUCCUGACAGCAGAACGCUGCAGCUUGUGUGCAAAUGUGUGAAAUGCUCACGUGUUGAUGUGACGCAGCUGCGUGCCUUGGUCUGCAGCGUCUGGGUGUUUGAGGGGUGCUGACCCUGGGGAGUGAGACCCCAUGCGUCAGGAUGAGCCGGGGUGUUUGCAGGACCCAGAUUUGUGAGGGGCCCAGGCACAAGGAGCAGCCCCCGAGGGGAGACGAGAGCCCCCUGCGUGGGAACGAAGCAGAGCAGAGGCCCUGCCGUCACCGCCCACGUCUCCGUGGUGCCGGCUGCGUGGGGCUCCCCGACCGCCUCCACUGGGGCUGCGCUGGGAGUGUGAACUCCAGCUCCCUGGUCCUCUUGUCCUGGGGAGAGUGCUGAGAGGGGCUCCACGUGGGCACUGCCACUCCCUGCAGUGGCCCUGCCCGACUUCCUGCUCUUGCUCAGCUGUGUCCCUUCCCACCUUGCUCCUUGUGCCGCCUGGGGCUUCUUGCGUCCCCCUCAAGUCAGCAGCCUGCACCCAUCUCCAUCUUGGGUGCCCAGGGGUGCUGUGAGGACCUCAGUCAGGGUCCUGACUCCUAGAGGAGCGGUGACCUCCUUCCUGUGCAGCCGCAGGCCAGGCAGCUGCACCACCAGGAGAGGGCGUCAUGAGGCAGAUUCCUGGACCACCCAGCCCUGCACUGUCAGAGCCUCCAGGGUGGCCGGGCCAACUGUGUCUGAGCAAGGCAGGCAGCGGCUGAUGGACCCAGCCACGGAGCCUGCUGCAGUGCUCAAGAUCGGAGGCUGUGGUGGCCUGGGGACGCUCGGAACAGGAGACACAGGCAUCAGCCGGGACCUGGGCGGAGGGAGGUGAAGGCCAGCUUGGGCUGGGUGCAGGCCAGGGUGACCUGGCCAUCCAGGAGGGAAGCUGAGGAGCAAGGGGAGGCUGAGGAGGAGGCGCCUCAGGCAGUGGCGGUGGAAGCGGCUGGGGGUGGGGAGCCCUGCU